rnacentral:rRNA from 1 species
AUUGAACGCUGGCGGCAGGCCUAACACAUGCAAGUCGAGCGGGGUUUUCGGACCUAGCGGCGGACGGGUGAGUAAUGCGUAGGAAGCUACCCGACAGAGGGGGAUACCAGUUGGAAACGACUGUUAAUACCGCAUAAUGUCUACGGACCAAAGUGUGGGACCUUCGGGCCACAUGCUGUCGGAUGCGCCUACGUGGGAUUAGCUAGUUGGUGGGGUAAUGGCUCACCAAGGCGACGAUCCCUAGCUGGUCUGAGAGGAUGAUCAGCCACACUGGAACUGAGACACGGUCCAGACUCCUACGGGAGGCAGCAGUGGGGAAUAUUGGACAAUGGGCGCAAGCCUGAUCCAGCCAUGCCGCGUGUGUGAAGAAGGCC